rnacentral:rRNA from 1 species
CCUACGGGAGGCAGCAGUGGGGAAUAUUGGGCAAUGGGCGCAAGCCUGACCCAGCAACGCCGCGUGAAGGAAGAAGGCUUUCGGGUUGUAAACUUCUUUUAAGGGGGACGAACAAAUGACGGUACCCCUUGAAUAAGCCACGGCUAACUACGUGCCAGAAGCCGCGGUAAUACGUAGGUGGCAAGCGUUGUCCGGAUUUACUGGGUGUAAAGGGCGUGCAGCCGGAGAGACAAGUCAGAUGUGAAAUCCACGGGCUCAACCCGUGAACUGCAUUUGAAACUGUUUCCCUUGAGUGUCGGAGAGGUAAGCGGAAUUCCUGGUGUAGGGGUGAAAUGCGUAGAUAUAAGGAAGAACACCAGUGGCGAAGGCGGAUUACUGGACGAUAACUGACGGUGAGGCGCGAAAGCGUGGGGAGCAAACAGGAUUAGAUACCCCAGUAGUC